GAGUAACGUCAUCGAUAAAAAUGGCGAUAUUUUGCAUUAAAGGUUGGCGAUAGCAAAACAAUCUAAACGAUUCUCCGUGCCUUUCAGAAUUUUUGCAACUUUGAUUAUGGCCUCAAACAAAUCGCAACAAU